AACCAUGGCUGUUCACGAUCUUGAGAGCACGGAGAGUUCACAGCGCCAGCCAGAUUUAUUAUAUAAAACAGUUUUAAAGAUUUUUUGGAUCUUUGGAUAACGUCGAGAUCACCAAAAAACUUUGCGGACACGCCUACAUUGGUGACAAAUAUUAGUAACGAGUUUGGCCAAGUUCUGAACUGUGUCCUAACCACUGGUGAGGGAGCUGGCCUAGAUGACUUGUGUCAAGGCAUCGUCAAGCGUUACAAGGACGCAAGCGAGACAGGAGGAGGGUUACAGGAAAGCAGCCAGCCCCACAGACCAGAACAGGAAAGCAGCCAGCCCCACUGAUCAUUACUAAAGCUAAUCACCAAAAAACUUUGCGGACACCGCUACAUGGAUAACCAAUAUUGGUAACGAAUUUGGUCAAGUCCUGAACUGUGUCCUAACCACUGGUCAGGGAGCUGGCCUAGAUGACUUGUGUCAAGGCAUCGUCAAGCGUUACAAGGACGCUAAGGGGCCAGAGCCAGAUGUGAUUUAUGUUUGACAGGGAUUUCUGCAGCGAGACAGGCAUGUGACCUUCAAUCUUUUCAUACCAGGAAUUUUUUUUCUACUCUUUUUUUUGUAUUUCACCCUAAAAUGACUGAUUUUUGCAGUGGAUUUUCUCAGUUUGGGUGAUACUUGCUUCAUUUUCUUCGUUUUUUUUUUUUAUUAUUUGUGUUGGAGUGAAAAUCUACCAAUAAUCAUUACGUAAUUUAUGUUAGGAGUACAGGAGUAUUCAUCCGUUUCAUUCACUUGACCUUUUCCGAUCAUGUACCAUAUUCAUGACCAUCAGCGGGAAAACAUAAUGGCGGCGAAUACAAAAACACAUGAAGAGAUACCAAGAGAACACAGCGAUCAUUGGAUUUGACCAAUACCAUGUCCCAGAAAACAUUCUAACUAAGGGAGUCAUACACUGUAGUUUUAUAGGCAUUCGGUGAGCAGUCCUUACAGGUGUUGAGCUUAUACAAAGGCUUAGAGGUGAUACUCUCACCUGUAGAGAAGGAAGCCUUCACUAGAGUCAAUUCCUGACUGUUAGCUACCUCACACUUGCUUAUCACCAAAUGGUUUGUCCACUAAGUAUAUCUUUUGCAUUAAUCAUUUAUUAUAUUUGCAUGGUUGCUGUUGAAUUCUUAGUCACAAGAAAUUCAUUGGCUUAGGUGUUUGUCUUUGGAAGAAAAACAAGGCAAAAGGAAGGAAAUGGGGGGGAAUACAGGAAAUUUAAUGAUUGUUUUCAGUCUUUUCACUUAUGUUUUCUUCACUUUUCUACUUAUUUUCACUGAAACACAUUACUGAAAGGUCAACACUUAUUUCACUUUAUUUUCCCAAAAUAUCAAAACAGA